AGGAUAAACGCUGGCGGCGUGCCUAAUGCAUGCAAGUCGAGCGGCAGCGCGGUCUUCGGACUGGCGGCGAGCGGCGGACGGCUGAGUAACACGUAGGAACGUACCCCAAAGUGAGGGAUAAGCACCAGAAAUGGUGUCUAAUACCGCAUGUGCUCUAAGGAGUAAAGCUUCGGCGCUUUGGGAACGGCCUACGCAUGAUUAGCUUGUUGGUGAGGUAAUGGCUCACCAAGGCGACGAUCAUUAGCUGGUCUGAGAGGAUGAUCAGCCAGACUGGGACUGAGAACGGCCCAGACUCCUACGGGAGGCAGCAGUAGGGAAUUUUCCACAAUGGGCGAAAGCCUGAUGGAGCAACGCCGCGUGCAGGAUGAAGGCCUUAGGGUUGUAAACUGCUUUUAUGUGUGACGAAUAUGACGGUAGCAUAUGAAUAAGGAUCGGCUAACUCCGUGCCAGCAGCCGUC
rnacentral:rRNA from 1 species